rnacentral:misc_RNA from 1 species
AAAAUUUCUCCUCCAGUUCAUUUCCAACAAGCAAAACCCCAUUAGCCCAUCAAAGCAAGCUCAGAUUUUUAAGGCUCUUGAAUUGUUUUUUGUGCCUUAAUCCGAUGUUCAAAAGCUGAUGAGACAGCUUUAAUUUUGAUUCCUGUCAAUAUUAGAACCAAUUUAUUUGGUGUAAUACACAUGUUUCUUUCUCCUGUGUCUCUUUUGUCAUAG